rnacentral:rRNA from 1 species
ACUCAAAUGAAUUGACGGGGGCCCGCACAAGCGGUGGAGUAUGUGGUUUAAUUCGACGCAACGCGCAGAACCUUACCUGGGUUUGACAUCCCACGACGACUACAGAGAUGUAGUUUUCCCUUCGGGGACGUGGAGACAGGUGCUGCAUGGCUGUCGUCAGCUCGUGUUGUGAAAUGUUGGGUUAAGUCCCGCAACGAGCGCAACCCUUAUCUGUAGUUGGCAUCAUUAAGUUGGCCACUCUGCGGAGACUGCCGAUGUUAAAUCGGAGGAAGGCGGGGAUGACGUCAAGUCCUCAUGGCCCUUACAUCCAGGGCUACACACGUACUACAAUGGUAGAGACAAACCGUUGCGAAGCCGUAAGGUGGAGCUAAUCGGAAAAACACUAUCUUAGUUCGGAUUGAAGUCUGCAAUUCGACUUCAUGAAGUUGGAAUCGCUAGUAAUCGCAGAUCAGCACGCUGCGGUGAAUACGUUCCCGGGCCUUGUACACACCGCCCGU